rnacentral:tRNA from 1 species
GGAACAAUCUUUCAGUCAGUUAGAGCAUGGUGCUGCUAACACCAAGGUCACAGGUUCAAUUCCUGUUCGGUUCC